GAUCAUGGCUCAGGAUGAACGCUAGCUACAGGCUUAACACAUGCAAGUCGAGGGGCAGCAUGAUCUAGCUGCUAAGAUGAUGGCGACCGGCGCACGGGUGAGUAACGCGUAUCCAACCUUCCCUGUACUAGGGGAUAGCCCGGCGAAAGUCGGAUUAAUACCCUAUGUUUUCCGAAGCGAGCAUUUAAUUUGGAACAAAGGUUUACCGGUAUAGGAUGGGGAUGCGUCUGAUUAGAUAGUAGGCGGGGUAACGGCCCACCUAGUCGACGAUCAGUAGGGGUUCUGAGAGGAAGGUCCCCCACAUUGGAACUGAGACACGGUCCAAACUCCUACGGGAGGCAGCAGUGAGGAAUAUUGGUCAAUGGACGAGAGUCUGAACCAGCCAAGUAGCGUGCCAGGAUGACGGCCCUAUGGGUUGUAAACUGCUUUUAUAUAGGGAUAAAGUGAGGGACGUGUCCCUUAUUGUAGGUACUAUAUGAAUAAGGACCGGCUAAUUCCGUGCCAGCAGCGGC
rnacentral:rRNA from 1 species